rnacentral:misc_RNA from 1 species
UGAACAUCUCAAAGUCAUUUUGGAGUUGGGCUUUUUUGUUGGGAUAUAAAGUGCUCGUCACUAUCACAACUGGCCUGAAAUUUGUGUCAAAAUAAAAUGCAAGAAAACGUGUGGGUGCUUUGUUGCAAAAGACGAAAAGCUAAUUAGUUGACUGUGGUCAAACUUGCUGACUAGUCUUCCAAAGCAAGCAUAUCCACAUUCAUA